AGAAAACUUAUAAAACAAAUAAAACAUAUUUUGAUCAUGAAUAAUCUAUGUCAUCAUAUUGAACCAGAGUCGCUUUCUAUAGGUGCUGAAAUGGAUAGCAGAAUGCUUAUAUGCAACCGGGGUUAUAUCAUAAUUAAUUUUUAGACGUAGGUAAUCCGAAAACACUGUUGGCGGAUAUACCUAAUAAUUUCGAUUUAAUUGAUUUUUAACGUUUUUCGCAGUAAUUAUAUAUCAAAGAGCAAUUACACCCACGUAUGUUCCUAUAAUAUUCAAU